AGUCGUAACAAGGUUUCCGUAGGUGAACCUGCGGAAGGAUCAUUACCGAGUGUCGGGCCCCCCCCACGGGGGCCCACCCUCCCACCCGUGUCUACCGUACCUAGUUGCUUCGGCGGGCCCGCCGUCUCCGGACGGCCGCCGGGGGGCGCCUCUCGCCCCCGGGCCCGCGCCCGCCGAGGACACAAACCACGAACUCUGGUCUGAUCUUUAGUGGAGUCUGAGCGGAUUGCCUCGCAAUCAGUCAAAACUUUCAACAAUGGAUCUCUUGGUUCCGGCAUCGAUGAAGAACGCAGCGAAAUGCGAUAACUAGUGUGAAUUGCAGAAUUCCGUGAAUCAUCGAGUCUUUGAACGCACAUUGCGCCCCCUGGCAUUCCGGGGGGCAUGCCUGUCCGAGCGUCAUUGCUGCCCAUCAAGCACGGCUUGUGUGUUGGGUCGUCGUCCCCCCCGCCCGCGGGGGGACGGGCCCGAAAGGCAGCGGCGGCACCGUGUCCGGUCCUCGAGCGUAUGGGGCUUUGUCACCCGCUCCGCAGGCCCGGCCGGCGCUGGCCCACGCGAGGCCACCCCCCGGGGUGGCCCCAACCUUCUUUUCUCCAGGUUGACCUCGGAUCAGGUAGGGAUACCCGCUGAACCUAAGCAUAUCAAUAAAGCGGAGGA
rnacentral:misc_RNA from 1 species